CGUGAGGGAAAGGUGAAAAGAACCCCGGGAGGGGAGUGAAAUAGAACCUGAAACCCUGCACUUACAAGCUGUGGGAGCACAUUACUUGUGUGACCGCGUACUUUUUGUAGAACGGGCCAACGAGUUACGUUAAGUAGCAAGGUUAAGCACUUAAGGUGUGGAGCCGUAGCGAAAGCGAGUCUUAAAUGGGCGAUUAAGUUACUUGGCGUAGACCCGAAACCGGGCGACCUAUCCAUGAGCAGGUUGAAGCGAAAGUAAAAUUUCGUGGAGGACCGAACCCACGAGCGUUGAAAAGCUCGGGGAUGACUUGUGGAUAGCGGUGAAAUUCCAAUCGAGCCCGGAGAUAGCUGGUUCUCCCCGAAAUAGCUUUAGGGCUAGCCUCAAGCGUAGAGAAACGGAGGUAGAGCACUGAAUGUCCUAGGGGGUAUUGCACUUACCGAAGACUAUCAAACUCCGAAUGCCGUUUUCUUUUACUUGGGAGUCAGACUGUGGGUGAUAAGAUUCAUAGUCAAAAGGGCAACAGCCCAGAUCGUCAGCUAAGGUCCCUAAAUGUACGUUAAGUGGUAAAGGAUGUGGGAUUGCACAGACAACCAGGAUGUUGGCUUAGAAGCAGCCACUCAUUUAAAGAGUGCGUAAUAGCUCACUGGUCGAGUGAUCCUGCGCCGAAAAUUUCCGGGGCUAAAACGUACUACCGAAGCUACGGCAUCAUUUAUGAUGGGUAGGGGAGCUUCGUAUGCAGGCUGAAGCAUGACCGUAAGGACAUGUGGACAGUAUACGAGUGAGAAUGUUGGCAUGAGUAGCGAGACGUGGGUGAGAAUCCCACGGGCCGUAAACCCAAGGUUUCCAGGGGAAGGUUCGUCCGCCCUGGGUUAGUCGGGACCUAAGCCGAGGCCGAAAGGCGUAGGUGAUGGACAACAGGUUGAUAUUCCUGUACCGCCAAUAAGCGUUUGAGAGAUGGAGUGACACAGUAGGAUAAGCUAACCGUACUGUUGGUUAUGUACGGCUAAGCAUUGAGGCAGUCUAAAUAGGCAAAUCCGUUUAGACAAUGCUAGGAUGUGAUGGGGAAGCCCUUCGGGGCGAAGUAGCUGAUUUCACACUGUCAAGAAAAGCUUCUAUCGAGUUUAAAGGCGCCCGUACCGUAAACCGACACAGGUGGGUGAGGAGAGUAUCCUAAGGCCAGCGAGAGAACUAUUGUUAAGGAACUCGGCAAAAUGACCCCGUAACUUAGGGAGAAGGGGUGCCUGUCUAUGACAGGCCGCAGAGAAUAGGCCCAAGCGACUGUUUACCAAAAACACAGGUUUCUGCUAAGUCGCAAGACGAUGUAUAGGAGCUGACGCCUGCCCGGUGCUGGAAGGUUAAGGGGAUCUGUUAGAGCAAUCGAAGCAGUGAACUUAAGCCCCAGUAAACGGCGGCCGUAACUAUAACGGUCCUAAGGUAGCGAAAUUCCUUGUCGGGUAAGUUCCGACCCGCACGAAAGGCGUAACGAUUUGGGCACUGUCUCAACAAUAGACUCGGUGAAAUUGUAAUCCCGGUGAAGAUGCCGGGUACCUGCGACAGGACGGAAAGACCCCAUGGAGCUUUACUGUAGCUUGACGUUGGGUCUUGGUACUACAUGUACAGGAUAGGUGGGAGACUAUGAAGCAUGGACGCCAGUCUGUGUGGAGUCAUCCUUGGGAUACCACCCUUGUAGUACUGGGAUCCUAACCAUAGGCCUUGAAUCAGGUCUUGGAACACCGUCAGGUGGGCAGUUUGACUGGGGCGGUCGCCUCCUAAAAAGUAACGGAGGCGCUCAAAGGUUUCCUCAGCACGGUCGGAAAUCGUGCGAAGAGUGUAAAGGCAAAAGGAAGCUUGAUUGCAAGACAUACAGGUCGAGCAAGGACGAAAGUCGGACUUAGUGAUCCGGUGGUACCGCAUGGAAGGGCCAUCGCUCAACGGAUAAAAGCUACCCUGGGGAUAACAGGCUUAUC
rnacentral:rRNA from 1 species